GCGUUACUUAUUAGAUUGUUGGCAAUAAUUUGUCUUUAAUUUCUCAAUAAAAGACAAUUCUAAACAAAGGAUUUAACUUGAUUUGUUAAUAAUAGUAUUAUUGCUUGUUUUGACUAUUUUGCACAGUACUUCUCUUAAAUCACCAGGUGAUAUAUCAUAUUAUAUUUUAUUAUUAUUGUGUAAUUUUAUAGAUAUCAUGUAUCAUAAUACUAUAUUAUCAUUUAUUCCUCUAAAUAUAGCAUCAAGCAAAUGUGGGAAAACACACGCUGUCAAAAGGAGAGACUGGUAUAGCUGGCACAUGAAAUGUCAUCGUUCCAACCAGACCAUGCUCAGCUGGCCGAUGUGGAUGGAUCGAGGUCGUCCUGACCUGAAUACCUCAUAUCCCGUGUGGCUCUAUGGCUUUGAAGUACAAAUACACGUCGGAGAAAAUACAAGGCGAACUUUUAACGUCUCCCAACUUGAGCUCCACAAUAAAGCAAGAACGAGAUGCAUAAAAGGAAAAACUUUUUUUGAAAACGGAUACUCUACAAUUGAAGCAGCUAAAAAUGAGUGCAUUGCAAAUAAAGCAAUAUUGCCUACCGUGAGUCCAAUUAACAUAGAACAGUUUGGCGUUGCUCAAGACAUCAUUGACGUUCCAUUUUGGAUACAACCACUGAGUGUUAGAAAAUUCACCGAAGCCCACUGCUAUUUGCUCGACCAAGAUUUGAAAGUAAGGAAAAGCAACUGUUCUGAAAAAUAUCCUUCAGUCUGCGUAAAUGAAUCAGUUCAUGACGUUAUGACGUACGUUGGACAAGAGUCACGCACUGAAUUGUAUAAAGCGUCGUUGACCUUUACGCUUUCCUCUACGUCAGAAUAAAGCACACUACGCAAUCAGGAAACGAAUGGUGACGUCAGUGUUGCACCUAGAGUUUCAAACGACACAAUACUUUCUACAGAAAACAACACAAUACUUUCUUCGGGGAGUGACGGACACCCGAAGACGGAAAUAAUUAUCAUCUUUACGCUCAUUUCUGUGGGUGUGGUUACAGGCGUAGCUUCCGUCUUAACCAUUACCAUUUACUGCAGGCUUAAAAGUAUGUCGAAACCCAACAGAAAAGCGGAGAUGUCGGGCAAUUACUGGAACACACCAGAGAUUGUCGAAGACAGAAAAUCUGAUAUGUAUGAACAUUGUGGACAUUCCUCGGGUAUCUACUAUAACACGGAGGAGCAAUUUGUCGUUAUAUCUCCACAGGCAUAUUAGGACAGGAACAACUUAUUACGGUUCUUUCUUUUCUCCGGAUUGGGUUCUGUGCUUGACUUUUUUCGAUUUUAAUAGCUUAUAUCUAAAUACACAACGGUUUGAAUUUGUGACACGUAGGGUUUAACGAACGAAAACUAGUUGAUCAUUUGCCAAUAAAUAUUAAUAAUGCUAAGUUCGAUGCUAUUACCAUUGGUGCUCUGCAAUUUUUUGUUAACUGCUUUGAGAAAUUUUACGGCGGUAAUUUGGUUCUAUGUUUAUGGAUAGAUAAGGGAGUUUUAUUUUAGAGUAAAAUAAUACUGACACAGCAAAGAAAGACUGACAGUGUUUAAAUAAAAAUAUGAUUUCACGAGAUAAUAUUUGUAAAGAGGCGUACGGGUCCCCAUUAUAUCCAUUAUUUUUAUCCUCGCCUGCGGUUCGUUUUACACUUUUGGACUUACACUUAUGUCAAUUUAAUGUAAGGAGGCCCUUCCUCGGUCUGAUUACCAUUGUGAACAUGUAUAUUAAAGCGAGUUUAUACGAUUUUAAUGUCAUAACUUUAUUCUUUUAAUCUUACAUCAACUGUGGCAAUAUGAACAAAAUAGUGUUUACUUCAAAUAAAUUUAUAACAAAUAAGCAAACUCCGAUACCAACACGUUUACUCGUACUUAUUGCACAGUCAAAAGUGUGUAUAUGUGUCGUAUGAACGCAUCUAAACAUAUGAAUGGGCUUUCCUAAUGGGGUGAACAUGGUUUAUAUACAUGAAAUCGGUUAUGUCGUACAGCCAAAGGAAAUAUUUGCAAUUGAAUAAAACACUAUUUUCGUUUAUUUUCUGUUAAUUCUUGAUCUGAACUUUUAUUCUAGUUCUUUAGUCAUCGGCGUUGUAUAUAUUUUGAUUAAAAGCAAUAAGAUAAGUUUAUUCUCAUUAUAGCCUGUUUGAUCGAAACAUCUGCGCCAAGAUUGAUGGUUUAGGUAUAAUAAUCCGCUUAAAGAAUCACUUGUUUUACAUGGCGUGUUUUAAAAUGGUUACUCCAUUAAUUUCUUAAUUAAUAUCUGUAUCAUAUGUGUGUAUCUUCUUCGAAUUGUGUUAUACAGUGUUGCAUUAAAAGAUGUUAAUUUUCUCAACUAUAAAUAAUAAUGUCCUCUUAGUAUGGUUUUGUUUGCAAAAUCAACUUGAGUUUGAUGAUAUUUAUCGUACUUUAAACUGUACAAAAAGUAUUGUACUGUGUUAAUAGCAUGUUUAUAAUUUCUUCUAAAAUAUAUACCAUAUUCGGGUCAUUUUCUUUUUUAAGAUUAUUAUCAAACAAUUCUUUGUAAAUCUGAAUAAGCACCAUUGAGACCCGUUAAUUAAAAACACAAACAUACCCCAACAAAAUACCAAACAAAGACUCGCACUAUUCUCAAGCUUGAAUGACAAAUAUAUUAUGAUGCUUGUCCCCAAAAUUAAGCUAAAAAUAAACGUCAUCAUGAAGCAUUCUUAACAUUAUAAAAAAACAAUGUAGCUUUAUCGCGUGUUAUUGAAUUUAUUUAUUUUCCUACAGCAUAAAAACCAAAAUAGUUAUUAUUUUAUAGGCAUUAAAACACUGUGUGAUACGCAGUUCAAAACAUUAAUUGUUAUAUUACAAUUUUACAACACCUGAAAUAAAGCUAAAUCACUCUACAAAAGCAUCAGUUAUUCCCUAUAUAAAAAAAUCGUUACUGGAUUGAGCUAAUUGCAUUGUUAAGGUCAACAUAUACACAAAGGCAAAUCUACUAGUAUAUUAUUGUACCAACAGUGCAGGUCACGCUUUUGCUGAAAAUAGCAUUAAACAGCUUUAAUAUGAACAUUGCACUCGUUAGCACUUUCCAAUAGAUGUUACAAUUAUUUAUAUACUUGCGUUCUUUUAAUGAAAGAGUGCAAAUGAACAAAGGCCUCCUCGCAAUAUAGUGACCGACCAGUCAGCGCAAACACGUUGAUUUAACGUAAGCCGAAUUCUCGUGUUUCGAUGACGCGAGGUGGUCGUCAGUGGUCUGUUAUACCUCUUAUAUUCUUCUGCACAGAUGUAUUUUAUGCUACAGCGAUAAUAUAUCACAGACAAUAAUAAACCAUGUUUAAAGUAAGAAACAUAAUUCUUCUGCAAGACAAACAACACGAUCGCAAGUCCGGAAAUAUUUGCUUUAUAAAAUAUGCUACGAACGUUACACAAAACUAGAGCUGAGCGUGCAUGAAAAAAACAUCUAUUUAAUGUCGUAAGUCAGCGGGCACUUUGCUAUUUGAUUGACCCGAAAAAUAUUCCCAGUAUAAAUGAAUUUUUAGAUUACCAUGAAAUAGCAAAAAAUGUGGCUAUGUCUGCUUCUAGAGCAUUAGGUUUAAUUAUUUCGAAAAGUAAAGCAUUUGGAGGUUUCCAAUAUUCCACGUUCACCAAGUUAUUUGAUUCUAUGGUUUGGCCUAUUAUCAGCUAUAGUGCACCAAUAUGAGGCGAUAAACCUUACUCGUGUAUUAAUGCUGUCCAGAAUCGGGCAAUGCGGUAUCAUUUAGGUGUCGGUAAAUACACCCCUAAUGCGGCAGUUCUUGGAGAAAUGGGUUGGAAACCACCAAUUGUAAAGCAAUGGGGAGCUGUUAUUAGACAACAUUUUAGAAAUGUAAAUAUGAAUGAUUCCAGAAUAAAUAAGAAAAUGUACUUGUGGUCUAAAUCAAGAAAUGUUAAAAAUAGUUAUUUUAGAAUAAAGUCAUGUCUGAGAGAUGCAAACAUGUCUGAUUUAGUUGAUAUACCAAUUAAUAAUAUUAAAUAUAUUGUAAAUGACGUAGAAUCUAGGAUUUUUGAAAAAGAAAUUGUCAAAUGGAGAAGUGCAGUCAAUAGUAAUACUGGAACUAGAGGUGUUGGUCAUAAUAAAUUGAGACUGUAUAGAUUAUUUAAAAACGACUUUAGAACAGAAGCAUAUGUUAAAGACAAUAUACCAUUUUUGUAUAGAAGUGCAUUAGCUAAGUUUCGAUGCGGUGCGGAUAUGAAAAUAUUGAUUUGGGUAAUCGAACAUGUUUCCAUUGUAAAAACAUAGUGGAGGAUGAGAUACAUGUACUUUUUUAUUGUCCUUUAUAUGUAAAUAUCAGGAAAAGUCUAAUGGACAUUUUAAUUGAAACUUCAAAUUGUCACAACAUGUCAGAUACUGAGAAACUUAAAUACAUAUUUACAGAUGAGAGGUUGCUUUAUAUAUCAGCCAAAUCCUGCUUUAGUAUUCUCAAAGAAAGAAGGAAUAUUUUAUAUUCAAAAUGAAUUGUAUAUACUUAAGUUUUAUGCUGUACAUUUGUAAAAUAGUUUAUAGACUAGUCUGGGUUUUAAAAGCAAAUGGUAUUUUAAUAUAUAAACAAUAUUGACAAGUGUAAAUAAUACCACAUAGUCUUAGAUACAAUAACUUAUUUUAAUAGGAGUAAGUUUUAACCAUGUGGAACUAAUCUGUUAGUCAAUAAUUGUUAAUGUAUAUAAGUAUAUAAUUAUAU